AUGGGCGCCCACAAGAAUUUGGCCGGAGAGAUAUUGCGCUGGCGGCGGUCGGCGACGUGAGGUCCCAUCUGAACCGGCGUGCUAUUGGCGGUCAACAAUAAAUGCGUGCAAACGACAGGCCAUUCUCCGUCCAUGGCGGGCAAGGGACAGGCCUGAGGCCUCGUCUUUAGGCCAACCCCAUUUCCAGCUCUGCCCCUCUCGCUUCCACGCCUUCUCGUCGCCUUCUCUCCGGGGGCAAUUUGGUCAUCCCCAAUCCAUCCUUGUCAUCGCGCACCGAAACCAACGGCGGCGAUGCCCCAUGGACCCCGCCCCCGGUCUUCGGUGCCGACGUCUUCUGCUUUCAACAAGCUUCACCUCGGCCGGCGAGACGGGGGAGAUUAAUUAGAGGAAAAGAUCGGAUCUGUGAGAGGAGAAAGAGGAAAUAAGUUUAGAUCUGGCGGCGGCGGCGGUGAUGGAGGGGAAGGGGACGAGGAUGGCGCCCUACCGGGAGGAUUGCUGGAGCGAGGGGGAAACCUCGGCGCUGGUUGACGCGUGGGGCGACCGCUACUUGGAGCUCAACCGUGGGAGCCUCCGCCAGCAGCACUGGCAGGAGGUCGCUGACGCUGUCAACUCCCGCGCAGGAGCGCGCGGCCGCAGCCGCCCGCUCCGAACCGACGCGCAGUGCAAGAACCGGGUCGAUACCCUCAAGAAGAAGUACAAGAACGAGAAGGCAAGGAUCGCAGCUGGAAGAGGAGGAGGAGGAGGAGGAGACGGCGGCGCGGGGGGCUGGAGCUUCUUCUCCCGCCUUGAUGCCCUCGUGGGGUCGUCGUCCGGUCCGCCCCAUGGCAAGAACCCUCCCGCUUCGCCUCUGCUCUCCUCCCACCGUAAAGGCUCCUCCAUGCGUCAAGCUAGCGUGAGGGAGAAAAAGCCAGCGGCGACCGGUAUCGCCGCCGCCGCCGCUAACGACCUCGACGACGAGGAGGAAGGGAACGGCUUUAAGUCGCCGUCGGGUUCAUCCUCCUCAAAGAAGAAGAGAAGCGCUCGGGGGCGAGCCCGCGACGAGCUCCGUGAGCUGGCGAGGGCAAUAGAGAGCUUCGCCGAGAUGUACCAGAGGAUGGAAGAAGCGAAGCAGCAGCAGAGGACGGAGCUGGAGAAGAAGCGGAUGGAGUUCACCAAGGAGCUCGAGCUCCAGCGGAUGCAAAUCUUUGUGGACUCUCAGGUGCAGCUUGCCAAGAUCAAGCGUGUCAAGCCAUCCGAAAAAGAUAGUUACAGACUGAACUGAGAAUCUGAACUGAAGCAAAUGGUGCUGUUAGUGAGCUGCAUUCUGAAGUCUGCAAUUGCAUGCACCCUAAACUUGAACUUUGGAUUUAUUUGCUGGUUUAUGUAAGUUGACAUGGCAUCGCUUGUGAUUAGCAUGAACAAUCAACUUCCGUCGUGCAUUGAGUGACUGUAGAUAGAUGCAUAGAUCCUGCUGUUUUACUUGUGCGAAUCUCUUCUUAAGAAGAUUUGCUUGAGUUACAUGCAUACACAAGGCAAAGAUUGAGAUCAGGGUAGAUAAAUUGACAACUAGAGCAAACGAGUCUUUAUGGCCAAACUAAACGUUGACUCAGAUUUCCUCCUUUUUCAAAUCUCCAUUUGUCCUCGAUCUAAGAAAUUUCAAACACAGUUUGGCACGGCGGAGGUGCCCGAGGGAGCGCUAAGCUUCGAGAUUUUCUGCGCCCUGAUGGUGAAGGAAGACCGGCGAGGUAACGAGGCGGAGGAGGAGAUGGCGGUGGUGGCGCCGCCGUGCCCGAGGUGCCAGAGCAGGGAGACCAAGUUCUGUUACUUCAACAAAUACGAUGUGAACCAGCCGCACCACUUGUGCAAGGCCUGCCGCAACUACUGGACCCCCGCCGGCGCCCUCCGCGUCGCCCCCAUUAAGGUCGCCGGCAGGAGCGCUUGGCGGCGGCGGAGGCCGAGAGGUGGACUCGUGGCCGGACCCAGCCAGGGUGGACUUACGGCGGCUUCGUUUGGUUUACGGCCUUACGGGAUCAAUUGUUAUGCGUUUGUUGGAUCUGGCCCAAUUGUGGCCCACUUCAUCGAGCAAUAAUUUUAUCAGCUACCCAAUUCCGUUCAUGGGCUGAAUUUGGAACAGGCCCAAUGGUGGUCCACGUUCUUCGUUCACAUUCGAAGAAUUCCACCUUCUCUUCGUCGCACUCUUAUAUAAACCAAAUCACGGAGCGGUACUCGGCGAGACCGGGUCUGCAGGGAGAGGGGGAACGUCCAGGUCGCCCUCCGAUCAACGCAUGGAAACCGAUCGGCGACCUCCCUCCUCUCUGAUCCCGCCUCCGCCGCUUUUCGAUGCCGGCAUCGAGCACUCCUACGCCUCUACGGAAGCAGCUGCCUCGCCAUCGUCCGACGCUUCCCCGAUCGCCGAUCCCGAUCGCCGUCAAUCUCGGAGAGGCUCCCUCGUAUCUCCUUCUCUCGAAGUGGAUGUCUUCGCCGAUGCCACUGAUGAGGUGAGUCUCCAAAAAACCAAAGUGGCGGCCGUCGAUCCACCAGACCUCUCUGAGGAACUUCGCGAUCGGAUCGUUCGCCAGGUUGAGUAUUACUUCAGUGAAGAGAAUCUGGCUACUGAUAGAUUUCUACUAAGGUUUAUCAAGAAGGACAAAGAAGGAUAUGGUAUGCAUACCUCCUGGCUCACUAGAUUUGUUAUUGUUGUUUUUUGUUUUUUUUUUCCAGCUCUGUCCUCAGCGUGCUGUUUGUUUCACUGUGUAAUUGCCUGCCUGAUUGGCUAAACAUUCGAUCUUAUAACACUAUUUUGAGUGGUUACUGUGACUCUGAAUCAAUUUUAGGAUCGAAGUUAUUCCUUUUUUCACAUUUUCUGACACUGCAUAUCUUUUCGUUUGCAAAUAAUUUUGAAAGCGCUGUAACUGAAGAAAUCUUACAUGCAGUCCCCUUUCAAAAUCCCACCAAGGGGAAUUUAACUUUCGUUGGAUGGUAUGGGAUGGGAUUAAUCCCAGCCACAAGGCAUCCUGCAGCCACCUGACCAAUACAACGGUUGGAAAGUAGCCUCCACGUGAUUUGUCCAUGAGGGGGGCUGCACUUCGGUUUUUUCCACUCUAAAUUUUAGUUAUGCUUGUUCUUUGCUUCAAGUGCAAAAGAAACUUAGAGGAGAAUGACUGCCGAGAACAGAAAUUGGCAAUUGUUGGUUUCUUAGGAUGCUUUACCUCGCAGAGGAGGUUAUAAGUUCAUCAAGGAUUAUAGCUUUUGUGAUUUCUAAACAAUAUUGAGUCCACUGCCUGUCAAAAUUUUCUUUUGCCAGAUGCACAUAUGAAACAGUAACUGAACAAGUGAAUUCUGGAAUUUGAGUUGUGAUCUCAAAUUGUGUUCUUCAAGAUAGAAUUUUGCUAUAAUUGUCAAGGGUUUACAAUGUUGUCCAUGGGCAUUUUCCAGAUUUACAACAUUUGUCUUUCCAAUCUCUUAAAUUGACCUUUUAUAUCCGUAACAACAUAUUGGUCACAAGCAAUGUUCAUCAUGUUCAUGACAAUGUAUUGAUGAACGCUAUUUGCAUUCUUUUUAACAUGCAGUUCCUAUAGAAGUUAUUGCAUCUUUCAGAAAAACAAAAAAGCUCACUAAAACACUGUGUGUAAUUGAGGCUGCACUUAGAACAUCAUCCCAGCUUUUUUACAGGUUGUUAGUGAGGAUGGGAAGAAAGUGAAGAGAUUGCAUCAGUUAUCGAUUGAAACCACAGACUCUAAGCUUCGGACUGUUAUAGUGGACAAUCUACCAGAUGAUUGCUCAGAAAAAAAUAUUCGAAGCAUCUUUGGCAAACUUGGAAAGUAUGCCAUUCUAAUAAUUUUGAGCAAACUAAUUCAAAGAGCAAGUUCUUUUCACCAGCCCAAUUUUCUUUUAAUUGUUCAGAAUUCUAAAGAUCACUCUCCACAAUCCGCACCUCCACCACAAGUCAGCAAAUAAUAGGACGUCUGGAAUCAUAAUCAAUACUAAGACAUACGCUCUUAUCGAGUAUGGAACAGCGGAGGCAGCAGCAAGUGCUGUAAGUUCUACGGGUGCUACAUAUUUCAUAAGUCAUUAAGGUAGUAUCAUGACGAAGAAUUGCUUUCUCAGAUAACUUACUUCAACCAUGAGGAUAAUUGGCGAAGUGGCAUGCGUGUUGAACUCCAACUUACUAGAAUGGUAGCCUACCUCUUGUUUUCAUAUCCUGGAUUCAGCGAUUUUGUCUUUGACACUAAUUAUACUGUUUAGGGGAAGCAUGGGCUUGCUCUAAAAGGCCUCAAAAGGACAUACGAGAAGAAGAGUAGUGCUCAUGUUGAAGAACCAAAUGCAAGCCAGGAGAAAAUUUCUAUAGCGAACCAUGAGAUGCUAGCUUUAAAAGAGGUUACUCUGAGUUUUAUUUGAAAACCAACAUUACAUUUUGAAAAUUAAAACGGGAAUUUCCUUCAAAAUCUAGGACCUCUCUUUCUAAAGGGCAGCCUGCACGAAUAUAGAAAAAUUAUCUCUCUAGUAGAUAUGCUGACAGAUUUGGUGGUUAUUCUUUUAACAUUUUAUGUAGGAAGGCAAGCAGGGCAAAGGUGCUCCAAGGAAUAGGUAUAAAGGUCGAGGAAGAGGUCGAAUUAAACAGAACCUCUGCAGUGAUGCUAGAGCUCAACAAUUUCAACAAAAUGGCCAUACAUUUGCGAACAAGCCUCUACAAUGGCCAAGGAUGCCGGACGGAACAAGAGGUUUUGCUUUCGGACGGGGCAAACCUGAAGUCAAAUCUACAUGAUGCUCGAGUUUUCGAACGGCUCCAUGAUAUAAAGAUACCAUCCUUCCUCUAAUAAACUAACUACAUUCAAGGAAUCUGCUUCGGUAAAAAGAUCCUCCAAUCAACUAACUAUAUUCGAGGAAUCUGCUUCAGUAAAAACAGAGCAUGUCAUAUCUCGUGCUCUUUCUACAAAACAGUGUAUCGCGCCAUUUUUCUUAUACCAAAUCAGAUGAUGAAUCGGAAUGCGCCAUUCACAAUCUUUUUUA